AGCAAUAUCUGAAUGAGAGUAGCGCACGGGUGCGUAACACGUAUGCAACCUACCUAUAACUGGGGGAUAGCCUCCCGAAAGGGAGAUUAAUACCGCAUAAUAUUAUUGAGUGGCAUCACUUGAUAAUUAAACCUCAGGGGGUUAUAGAUGGGCAUGCGUCCGAUUAGCUAGUUGGUGAGGUAACGGCUCACCAAGGCUACGAUCGGUAGGGGGUCUGAGAGGAUGAUCCCCCACACUGGUACUGAGACACGGACCAGACUCCUACGGGAGGCAGCAGUAAGGAAUAUUGGACAAUGGGCGCAAGCCUGAUCCAGCCAUGCCGCGUGAAGGAUGAAGGCCCUAUGGGUCGUAAACUUCUUUUAAACGGGACGAAACCCCUCGACGUGUCGAGGGCUGACGGUACCGUAAGAAUAAGGGUCGGCUAACUUCGUGCCAGCAGCCGCGGUAAUACGAAGGACCCGAGCGUUAUCCGGAUUUAUUGGGUUUAAAGGGUGCGUAGGCGGACUUUCAAGUCAGUGGUGAAAGCCCAUCGCUCAACGAUGGAAUUGCCAUUGAUACUGUUGGUCUUGAGUACGGUUGAAGUGGGCGGAAUGUGUCAUG
rnacentral:rRNA from 1 species